UACGUAGGGUGCAAGCGUUAUCCGGAUUUACUGGGUGUAAAGGGAGCGUAGACGGCCAGACAAGUCUGAAGUGAAAAUCCAGCGCUUAACGUUGGAAGUGCUUUGGAAACUGCCGGGCUAGAGUGCAGGAGGGGCAGGCGGAAUUCCUAGUGUAGCGGUGAAAUGCGUAGAUAUUAGGAGGAACACCAGUGGCGAAGGCGGCCUGCUGGACUGCAACUGACGUUGAGGCUCGAAGGCGUGGGGAGCAAACAGG
rnacentral:rRNA from 1 species